rnacentral:rRNA from 1 species
UACGGGGGGGGCAAGCGUUGUUCGGAAUUACUGGGCGUAAAGGGCUCGUAGGCGGCCAACUAAGUCAGACGUGAAAUCCCUCGGCUUAACCGGGGAACUGCGUCUGAUACUGGAUGGCUUGAGGUUGGGAGAGGGAUGCGGAAUUCCAGAUGUAGCGGUGAAAUGCGUAGAUAUCUGGAGGAACACCGGUGGCGAAGGCGGCAUCCUGGACCAAUUCUGACGCUGAGGAGCGAAAGCCAGGGGAGCAAACGGG